rnacentral:sRNA from 1 species
GAGUGAGGGAAGGGGUGACUAGUGGCAGAGUGAGGAAAGGGUUAUUAGUGACAGAGUGAGGGAGGUGGUGACUGUCACCAGUCACCACCUCCCUCCUUCUGUCACUACUCCCUCCCUCCUUCUGUCACUAGUCACCCCCUCUGUCCCUUACUCUGUCACUAGUCACCCCCUAACUCACUCUGUCACUAGUCAUCCCCCUAACUCACUCUGUCACCAGUCAUCCGCUCACUCUGUCACCAGUCAUCCUUUCCUUCCCUCACUC